GUAGCGUGAAGGAUGACUGCCUAUGGGUUGUAAACUUCUUUUAUACGGGAAUAAGUGAGGCACGUGUGCCUUUUUGUAUGUACCGUAUGAAUAAGGAUCGGCUAACUCCGUGCCAGCAGCCGCGGUAAUACGGAGGAUCCGAGCGUUAUCCGGAUUUAUUGGGUUUAAAGGGAGCGUAGGCGGACGCUUAAGUCAGUUGUGAAAGUUUGCGGCUCAACCGUAAAAUUGCAGUUGAUACUGGGUGUCUUGAG
rnacentral:rRNA from 1 species